UGGACCAAUGAUGACGACUGGUGGCGUAUGAGUCAUCUACGAUGAAUGCUACGUGUCUGGAAGUCUGAGGUCCAA